rnacentral:rRNA from 1 species
GGGUGCGAUCAUACCAGCACUAAAGCACCGGAUCCCAUCAGAACUCCGAAGUUAAGCGUGCUUGGGCGAGUGUAGUACUAGGAUGGGUGACCUCCUGGGAAGUCCUCGUGUUGCACUCCA